rnacentral:rRNA from 1 species
ACACCUAGUGGCGGACGGGUGAGUAAUACAUAGGAAUCUGCCCAAGAGUGGGGGAUAACCCAGGGAAACUUGGAUUAAUACCGCAUGAUCUCUACGGAGCAAAGCUGGGGACCUUCGGGCCUGGCGCUUUGGAGGAGCCUAUGUCUGAUUAGCUUGUUGGUGAGGUAACGGCUCACCAAGGCGACGAUCAGUAACUGGUCUGAGAGGACGACCAGUCACACCGGAACUGAGACACGGUCCGG